UACGGAGGGUGCGAGCGUUAAUCGGAAUUACUGGGCGUAAAGGGUGCGUAGGUGGUUUUUUAAGUUAGUUGUGAAAUUCCUGGGCUCAACCUGGGCAGGCCAACUAAGACUGGAAGACUAGAGUAUAGGAGAGGGUAGUGGAAUUUCCGGUGUAGCGGUGAAAUGCGUAGAGAUCGGAAGGAACACCGGUGGCGAAGGCGGCUACCUGGCCUAAUACUGACACUGAGGCACGAAAGCGUGGGGAGCAAACAGGAUUAGAUACCCUGGUAGUCCACGCUGUAAACGAUGUCAACUAGCCGUUGGCCCAAAUAAAGGGCAAGUGGCGCAGCAAACGCGAUAAGUUGACCGCCUGGGGAGUACGGUCGCAAGAUUAAA
rnacentral:rRNA from 1 species